rnacentral:rRNA from 1 species
AGAACGAACGCUGGCGGCGUGGAUAAGACAUGCAAGUCGGACGGAGCUUGCCUGGUAGCAAUACCGGGCAAGUCGAGUGGCGAACGGGUGAGUAACACGUGAGAAUCUACCCGAGAGUGGGGGAUAGCUCGCCGAAAGGCGAAUUAAUACCGCAUACCCAAAGCAGCAAUGCGCUCCCGGAUGAGCUCGCGCCUUAUCAGCUUGUUGGUAGGGUAAUGGCCUACCAAGGCAUUGACGAGUAGCUGGUCUGAGAGGACUACCAGCCACACUGGAACUGAGACACGGUCCAGACACCUACGGGUGGCAGCAGUCGAGAAUCAUUCACAAUGGGCGAAAGCCUGAUGGUGCGACGCCGCGUGGAGGAUGAAGGCCUUAGGGUCGUAAACUCCUGUCAUCGGGGAACAAAGCCCGCAAGGGUCUGAUAGUACCCGAAGAGGAAGUCACGGCUAACUCUGUGCCAGCAGCCGCGGUAAUACAGAGGUGACAAGCGUUGUUCGGAUUCACUGGGCGUAAAGGGCGCGUAGGUGGCGAGGUAAGUUGAUGGUUAAAUUUCGGAGCUCAACUCCGAAACCGCUCUCAAUACUGCUUUGCUAGAGGACUGUAGAGGAGACUGGAAUUCACGGUGUAGCAGUGAAAUGCGUAGAUAUCGUGAGGAAGACCAGUGGCGAAAGCGAGUCUCUGGGCAGUUCCUGACACUGAGGCACGAAGGCUAGGGGAGCGAACGGGAUUAGAUACCCCGGUAGUCCUAGCAGUAAACGGUGCACGUUUGGUGUGGGAAGAUUCGACCCUUUCCGUGCCGUAGCUAACGCGUUAAACGUGCCGCCUGAGGAGUACGGUCGCAAGAUUAAAACUCAAAGAAAUUGACGGGGGCCCGCACAAGCGGUGGAGUAUGUGGCUUAAUUCGAUGCUACGCGAAGAACCUUACCUGGCCUUGACAUGCAUCUCUAAACCGGUGAAAGCCGGGGAGUGUAGCAAUACACAAUUUGCACAGGUGCUGCAUGGCUGUCGUCAGCUCGUGUCGUGAGAUGUUGGGUUAAGUCCCGCAACGAGCGCAACCCCUGUGAUUAGUUGCCACUCCGCAAGGAAGCACUCUAAUCAGACUGCCCUGUGAAACGGGGAGGAAGGUGGGGAUGACGUCGAGUCAGUAUGGCCCUUACGGCCAGGGCUGCACACGUACUACAAUGCCCAGUACAGAAUGAACCGAGACCGCGAGGUGGAGGAAAUCUCUAAAACUGGGCCCAGUUCGGAUUGUAGGCUGCAACUCGCCUACAUGAAGCCGGAAUCGCUAGUAAUGGCGCAUCAGCUACGGCGCCGUGAUACGUUCCCGGGCAUUGUACACACCGCCCGUCACAUCAUGGAAAUCACUUGUACCCGAAGUCCGUGCGCUACCUGCAAAGGAGCA